UACGGAGGAUGCAAGCGUUAUCCGGAUUCAUUGGGUUUAAAGGGUGCGCAGGCGGAAUGAUAAGUCAGUGGUGAAAUUCAACGGCUCAACUGUUGACCUGCCAUUGAUACUGUCAAUCUAGAGUAUAGUUGGAGUGGGCGGAAUGUGUCAUGUAGCGGUGAAAUGCUUAGAUAUGACACAGAACACCGAUCGCGAAGGCAGCUCACUAAACUAAAACUGACGCUCAUGCACGAAAGCGUGGGGAUCAAACAGG
rnacentral:rRNA from 1 species